AUGGGAGCGGAGACGAACCUCUCGUCGCCGCAGCUAGAUCCGACCAAGUCGCGGGAGUCGGUGACCCUACUCAACGACGAUCAGAACUGGAUGUCGGCGUUGCGGGAGUCUGUGUCGUUCGGGCGGUUCCUAUCCGAGCCACUCGAGUGGGAUACCACGGGGCAUGUCUCGCCGGCAACGAUGGCGCACGUCCGAUCACCUCCGACAGCUGAGUUUGAUCUGCCGCUACAUGCCGCGGCGUUCAGACCUCAAUCUGCGUCCUCCAACUGCAGUGCUGCGCACAUUGGAAGUUCUGGACCAGCCCAGAGUUGUAAUCCAUGCUUGCCCGCGGCUCGUUCGUCACUAAGUGCAACACAUAUUGGAAAAGCCGAUCUCUAUAUGGUGUGCAUUUCUGCCCAGCAUAGGAUGGCGUACAAGGAGAAUAUGGAGUCACCAAAUAAUCAGCUGAUCCAAGGCACCACAGAGUCCCGUAGCAGGGUAUCAUGUGAUGCAAGCAAUGGCGGGUUCUGCACGCGGGCGUGGUGGCCGUGGUCGUGGCGGUGCCGCCGCGCAAGACUUCGUGCAACGGCCGACAGCUCCAGCCGACCUCUCGUCGAGGCUUGGCGGUCCAAGCAAGGGUGGGAGCGCGGCAGCCUCUCCCGCGGUGUCGAUCGGUCCCCUUGGGCCAACUUCACCGCCUCCACGAAUAGCUCUGCUCGCACACCAUGCGGUGCCAAGAGGUGGAUGAGGAGCUCAUCACUGCGGAGCUGA
rnacentral:rRNA from 1 species